UACGAAGGGGGCUAGCGUUGUUCGGAAUCACUGGGCGUAAAGCGCACGUAGGCGGACUUUUAAGUCAGGGGUGAAAUCCCGGGGCUCAACCCCGGAACUGCCUUUGAUACUGGAAGUCUUGAGUCCGAGAGAGGUGAGUGGAACGUCCGAGUGAUAGAGGUGAAAUUCGUAGAUAUUCGGAAGAACACCAGUGGCGAAGCGGUCAUGGCUCGG
rnacentral:rRNA from 1 species